rnacentral:rRNA from 1 species
UACGGGGGGGGGCAAGCGUUGUUCGGAAUUACUGGGCGUAAAGGGCUCGUAGGCGGCCAACUAAGUCAGACGUGAAAUCCCUCGGCUUAACCGGGGAACUGCGUCUGAUACUGGAUGGCUUGAGGUUGGGAGAGGGAUGCGGAAUUCCAGGUGUAGCGGUGAAAUGCGUAGAUAUCUGGAGGAACACCGGUGGCGAAGGCGGCAUCCUGGACCGGCAUUGACGCUGAGGCGCGAAAGCCAGGGGAGCAAAACGGGG